UGUUGCGGUAAAAAGCUCGUAGUUGGAUUUCUGUUGGGACGCCGCGGUCCACUCCAUGAGUGCGUAUCUGUGUGCUUCCUGGCAUUCUCUCGGUGGACGUGUCUACGCUUCAUUGCGCAGCCGGACUUCGAGACUUUACUUUGAGGAAAUUAGAGUGUUCACGGCAGGCUUACGCCCGAAUAUACUAGCAUGGAAUAAUACUAUAGGAUUUUGGUUCUAUUUUGUUGGUUUCUAGAGCUGAAAUAAUGAUUAAUAGGGACAAUUGGGGGCAUUCGUACCAUGAUGUCAGAGGUGGAAUUCUUGGAUUAUCAUGCGACGAACUACUGCGAAAGCAUUUGCCAAGGAUGUUUUCAUUGAUCAAGAACGAAAGUUAGGGGAUCGAAGAUGAUUAGAUACCAUCGUAGUCUUUUUCAUAAACUAUGCCAACCAGAGAUCCGGCAGCGUCCAUUUACGGCCUGCUGGGCACCUUUCGAGAUAUCAGAGUUUUUCGGUUCCGGGGGGAGUACGGUUGCAAGACAGAAACUUAAAAGUAUUGACGGAAGGGCACCACCAGGGGUGGAGCCUGCGGCUUAAUUUGACUCAACACGGGGAAACUCACCAGGUCCAGACAUAAUAAGGAUUGACAGAUUGAUAGCUCUUUCUUGAUUUUAUGGGUGGUGGUGCAUGGCCGUUCUUAGUUCGUGGAGUGAUUCGUCUGCUUAAUUGCGUUAACGAACGAGACCUUAACCUGCUAAAUAGAAGCGCCUAUCUUCGGAUAAGCGUCUCUUCUUCUUAGAGGGACUGUCGGUGGCUUAAUCGAUGUAAGUUUGAGGCUAAAACAGGUCUGUGAUGCCCUUCGAUGUUCUGGGCUGCACGCGCGCUACACUGAUGCGUUCAACGAGUGUACAACCUUGCCCGAUAGGGUUGGGUAACCUUUUGAAAACGCAUCGUGAUGGGG
rnacentral:rRNA from 1 species